ACUCCUGUAGCCCAAUCGGAAGAGGCGGCUGUCUCAAAAACAGUCACGUGUGGGUUCGAUUCCCACCAGGAGUACCA
rnacentral:tRNA from 2 species